rnacentral:lncRNA from 1 species
UACAGCUGCAGCAUCCUUAGAGAUGCACAGCCUGGCAUUAAUUUUGACCAAGUGAACAGAACCGGCACCUAACUCCACCUCAGCCUAUGCUGCUGGUUCUGUAACUGUCUCUAUUCCCCAAUCUAUUAAACAAAUAGGGGUAGUGACACACAGUGGUGCUCAUCUUCACAGUUAAGCAAAUGCAGGUCUAAAAAGCCUCCUGCAGUUAAAAUCACCUCUGGCUCAAAGAAAACAGUCCACGCAAAACUGAACGUGUCAGAAUGUGAUUUACCACUCACAGCAAAAAUGUGACUGAUCCUCAGCUCUUUUAAGUGUAAACACACAUUUUUCCCUACGGAGGACAAAUACAACCUUGGAGGUUCGAGGACACAGUAACCCUUUUCAGGCAACUUCAGCUUUGGAUCUCCCUCCUGCGUGCACAGAGUUUUCUCCAAGGAAAUGAAUGCCCCUUCAGCAAGUCGGAAGAAAACCCAAAUCCCUCUUUGGGUUCCAAAUCCAGAAGCGUUCGAUUCCGGGAUUCUGAGCAGUGUGAAACAACCGAUCUGCGUCCAUCUCAGGGUCUCCUGGCACAGCUCUUCCGCCGCGUUAAGCAUCAGUCUGCACACUCCCGUCGUUCCGGCAGAGGGCGAUAUAAUUAAGCCAUUUAUUAAAGGCUCUCCAAGGCGAUCGCCGUAGCUGGCGCUUACAGAGCUCCCCGGGUUUUGUUGUUGCUCCGCGUUUGUGUUCUAAUGCCAAAUGCUUCGA